GUCUACGGCUAUAGCACCCUGAACACGCCCGACCUCAUCUGAUCACGGAAGCUAAGCAGGGUCGAGCCUGGUUAGACUUGGAUGGUAGAUCAAGAGAGUGGAAAGAUGGUUACCAGAGGCU
rnacentral:rRNA from 1 species